GCAAACUUGGUCAUUUAGAGGAAGUAAAAGUCGUAACAAGGUUUCCGUAGGUGAACCUGCGGAAGGAUCAUUACAGAGUUCGUGCCCUUCGGGGUAGACCUCCCACCCUUUGUAUACUUACCGAUGUUGCUUUGGCGGGCCGCCGCAUGGCCGACGGCUUCGGCUGUCGCGUGCCCGCCAGAGGACCCCAAACUCUGAAUUAUAGUGUUGUCUGAGUACUAUAUAAUAGUUAAAACUUUCAACAACGGAUCUCUUGGUUCUGGCAUCGAUGAAGAACGCAGC
rnacentral:misc_RNA from 1 species